UUUUCGUCCAUUUUUGGCGACUUUUUUCAUUUUUCAUAAGUGGGCAAAAAACAGCAAAAAAGUAAGGCUAUACCCUUAACUUUUCGUCCAUUUUUAACGACUUUUGCCAUUUUUCAUAAGUGGGCAAAAAACAGCAAAAAAGUAAGGCUAUACCCUUAACUUUUCGUCCAUUUUUGGCGACUUUUUUCAUUUUUCAUAAGUGGGCAAAAAAACAGCAAAAAAGUAAGGCUAUACCCUUUAC